rnacentral:lncRNA from 10 species
UGCUCCUUUUGGUAUUGGACAUCAAUUUUUUUGUGUGUUUCCAGCUUACAAUGUAAAUGGGCAGAGUGGGUUCCAGCAGCCAGAGACAGAGAGUCUCCAGGCAAAGAAUCUCAGGAGCUGGCUGGCUCUAUUACCAAUCACGCAAAUGCAACUCUCAGAAAGAAGAGUCUAUGUCCCUGUACACAGAAUCUGGCUUGACUUUGCGACUUGCUUUCACCAAUCAAAUGCAGAAGAAGUGAAGUCUGGUCCUCAGGAGGUUUUGUACUCCUCUGCUGACUCUCCUGGGAUGCUAAAAACGCCAUGAGUCCUAGUUACGACUAACUUACAUGGCCUAGUCACCUCCAUUGUCCAAGCCAAUAGGUACCCAGCCAUCACACCUAGAGUGAGGCCAUUCCAAUCUCCAGCUGAUCUGCUGUGGAUGAGCAUGGCCAAGAUCAACUGAGCUUGGCUCAGAUGAGCAAGACUCCCUGGAUAACCUACAAUCUUGUGGAGAAAUGGAGGCACUCAUGGAUCAAGCAUUUUCCCAGGGCCACAUAGUUAAUGUAGCACUUAGAAGACUGGGUAUCUUUUUCAAUGCCACAUAGUAGCACAGCUAGGAGUUGAACCAGGCAGUCUGGUGCUACAGGCCAUACAUUUUGACAUGUGUUUUGUUGCCUCUUGACAAAGUCCAUGGACUGUGAUCCUGGGACCAACAGCAUCAGUAUCAACUGGGAACUUCUUAGAAAUUCAAAUUCUUGGGGCUAUUCCCCAAAUUUCUGAGUCAGAAGCUCUGGGGAUAGGGCCCAGCAAGCUAUGUGUUAACAGACUUUUUAGAUCAGGGGUUCCCCCCAACUCCCAGGCCAAGAACCAGUACCAGUCUGUGGCCUGUUAGGAACCAGGCUGCACAGCAGGAGGUGAGGGCAGGUGAGCAUUACUGCCUGAGCCCUGCCUCCUCCUAUCAGAUCAGUGGUGUCAUGGCAUUAGAUUCUCACAGGAUCAAGAACCAUAUUGUGAACUGCACACACAAGGGAUAUAGGCUGCAUGCUCCUUAUAAGCAUCUAAUGCCUGAUGACCUGAGCUAGAACAAUUUCAUCCUGAAACCACCUCCCCCUUCCCCCAACCCCGUCCGUGAAAAAAUUGUCUUCUAUGAAACUGGCCCCUGGUGCCAAAAAGGUUGGGGGUGGCUGUUUCAGAUUAUUCUUACUCAGGAUAAAAUUUGAGGACACCUGCCCUAGCUCCUUAAAUUUAAGCUAUAAUUCAUAAAUUGGGUUCUUACGGUGCAUUAGAAUAAUGCAUUGAAUAGGUGAUUUUUGGAUGACUCCUAUGUGCUAACUACCAUUGUACUUGUAGGUGUUACCAUGCAGAACAAAAGUCCACUGGAGGAUGAGAGACCCACGGCCCAAUAACCUCCAUUGCCUCGGCCAACAGACAGUCAACUUCCAGUCUCACCAUUGCCUAGACUACCACAGGGACCACAGACACAUAACGGUGCCCAGCCAAGACAAGAAGAAACAUCCAGCUGAGUCCAGCCUAAAUUGCUGAUCUGCAGAAUUGAAAACUUGGGAGGAAGACAUACUAUACCACAUGGUCCUUUCCUUUUUCUGUGGAUGGCAAAAAGAUGCAUCACUUCCCGGAGCUUAUGAUAGAAGAUGCUCCUUCGCCAGUGUGAGACACUUAAAAGGACAAUGAUUUGUGCAGGGAACUAACCCUGUGUGCUACGUGUCCUUUUGCUCCAUUUUACUGAUGUGACAAUUGGAGCAGAAUAGUUUAUGUGGCAAAUUUUCCCAGCAUUUAUUUGCACUGCUUACUACAUUCACAUUCUAGUUUACAAAUCUUGACAAAGACAACUGAAUAGGUGUUUUGCAUGAAUGUACUUAUUUUGUAUUGAAGUAUGACACACAUGCAGAGAAGUGACAUUGUCAUAAGCAAAUGGCUUGAUGGCUUUUACAAACUGAAUGUAUGUAUAACCAACAUCGAGAACUAGAAGCAGCUUUUUCAGCCCCUCCUUCCUGAAACUUUUCCUCUCCUUCCACCUUGACCAAGUGUAAUCUCUCUCCUGACCUCUGGCAGAAUAGGUUAGUUUUGCUUAUUUUUAUUUUUAUAUGAGGUGAAUCUCUAGUGUCUGGGUUCUUUUCCUGAAAGCUGUGUUUAUGGAAUUCAUCCAUAUCAUUGUAUGUGGUUAUAGAUUCUCAUUGCUGUGUAGUAGUUCAAUGGCAUGAAUAUACACUAAUCAUUUAUCCGUUCCACUGUUGAUGUGCAAUUGGAGAAUUUCCAAUUUAGAGCUAUUAUGAAUAAUGCUGCUAGAGCCAUUCUAAUGCAUAUCUUCCAGUGAACACAUAUACGCAGUUCUCUUGGGAAUAUUCCUAAGUGUGGAAUUGCUGGGUCGUAGAUGUACAUUUUUAAAAAUCAUAAUAUUAGAGUCGAGUAUGCAGAAUUGACUGAAUUCUAAAACCAAAAGCUAAUUUUUUGAAGUGUGAAUUUCUGUUUGGGGAAAGUGAAUAAUGUGAAGAAACAUAACAUUUUUAUUUAUGGAAAUAAAUUUCAUGUCCUCUGAGCUAACAUCGCCCGUUCUUACGUCUGAAUGGCAGGAUGUUGAGUGUGCUGACGCGGUCAUUUUCUGCGGGGCUGCUCCCAGCUUAGCAUUCUUGCCACAUAAACUCUUCUAGCCCAAACCUUGAAAUACUGCAGGAAGUGGCAUCAGCCCUUUUGUGUUCUUUUCCGGCACCAGGUUGCUCAUCUCUCCCUGUGCCCAUUUGAGGUAAUAUACUGACAGUUGUCAAGAUGAGUCAUGGCUCUUUCUCAGACACACAGGGAGACCAAGUUUGUGACUAAUCGACAAAUCCUCUGGACACAGGCUGAGCCACCAAGAGCCACCCUCGUCCCGGCAAGUUCAGGCCUGGGCUGCAACCUCUGACAGCCAGAGGGGAAAGCAAACAUUGGCAGAACAGUUCUGUUUAUUUGCUUCUCUGAUUUUGAAGACAUGCAGCUUUCUCUCACUCUUCUCCAUUUCCUCUAAAAAAUUUUAUUAAUCUUAGCUUAUUUAUGGCCUUUAGCGUUUGUCUGCCUGUUCAUGCAUGUGCUCAGAAU